rnacentral:sRNA from 1 species
CUUAUCGGUUUGUUUGAUGUUACAGCCAAGGGUCUGUAGCUCAGGUGGUUAGAGCACCGUCUUGAUAAGGCGGGGGUCGUAGGUUCGAGUCCUACCAGACCCACCAAGUUACGGGCGGCGGAGAGCGAUCUUGCCGUGAACUGGGGGAUUAGCUCAGCUGGGAGAGCACCUGCUUUGCAAGCAGGGGGUCGUCGGUUCGAUCCCGUCAUCCUCCACCAACACCUUGUGGUAGCCAAACGCAAGCAUCGAGAGAUCGGUGUUUGCGUUUGGCAUUGCCAAGACGAGUAGUAACUCGGCUGUUCUUUAACAAUAUGGAAUGUAGUAAAGGUGUCGCGGCGCGUUGAUGAGGCGCGCAAUUUAAACGCGACACUGGGUUGUGAUUGUAUCAACCAGUAUUACGAGUGAUCGAAAGACCGCUUGGAAUACGGCACAACGCGAGAACUCAGCCUAUAGCGAGACAUACUCGUUAUAGGGUCAAGCGAAUAAGUGCAUGUGGUGGAUGCCUUGGCGAUCACAGGCGAUGAAGGACGUAGUAGCUUGCGAAAAGCUGCGGGGAGCUGGCAAACGAGCUUUGAUCCGCAGAUGUCCGAAUGGGGAAACCCGGCCCGUAUGGGUCAUCCCUUGCUGAAUACAUAGGCAAGGGAGGCGAACGCAGUGAACUGAAACAUCUAAGUAGCUGCAGGAAAAGAAAUCAACCGAGAUUCCCAGAGUAGUGGCGAGCGAAAUGGGAACAGCCUUGUACUCUUUAGCAGUAUUGUUAGCGGAACGGAAUGGAAAGUCCGGCCAUAGUGGGUGAUAGCCCCGUACGCGAAAACAGUAUUGUGGAACUAGGUGUACGACAAGUAGGGCGGGACACGUGAAAUCCUGUCUGAAGAUGGGGGGACCAUCCUCCAAGGCUAAAUACUCGUGAUCGACCGAUAGUGAACCAGUACCGUGAGGGAAAGGCGAAAAGAACCCCGGGAGGGGAGUGAAAUAGAUCCUGAAACCGCAUGCAUACAAACAGUCGGAGCCUGGAAACGGGUGACGGCGUACCUUUUGUAUAAUGGGUCAGCGACUUACAUUCAGUGGCAAGCUUAACCGAUUAGGGAAGGCGUAGCGAAAGCGAGUCCGAAUAGGGCGUUCAGUCGCUGGGUGUAGACCCGAAACCAAGUGAUCUAUCCAUGGCCAGGUUGAAGGUGCGGUAACACGUACUGGAGGACCGAACCCACUAACGUUGAAAAGUUAGGGGAUGAGCUGUGGAUAGGGGUGAAAGGCUAAACAAACUUGGAAAUAGCUGGUUCUCUCCGAAAACUAUUUAGGUAGUGCCUCGUGUCUCACCUUCGGGGGUAGAGCACUGUCAUGGUUGGGGGGUCUAUUGCUGAUUACCCCGCCAUAGCAAACUCCGAAUACCGAAGAGUGCAAUCACGGGAGACAGACAUCGGGUGCUAACGUCCGGUGUCAAGAGGGAAACAACCCAGACCGCCAGCUAAGGUCCCUAAGAUUGGCUAAG